UAGAUGAAGUUUCCUAUAAACUGCAAGGAGUUCAUUUCAUUUCUCUAAAUCAUCAUUUUUUUUUCUCCAAAGAACUCUUCUUCAUGUCCUCUUGUAGUAAAAUAUACAUUUUACCAUUUUUGAUUUGUUGUAAUCUCUUGUUUAAAAAGACCCAAAUGAUAGAUAGGAUUUUAUAGGGAUUAUCUCUCAAAAGACUAGAAGAAUCUGGAACCUAAAGGCUAAAAUCCUAAAUCGACGCAACAAUCUCUUCAUCAGGAAUUCGUCCAGUCGUCGGAAUCUUUGUGGGCUUAGAGAAUCCAGUGCAAUCCAUUGAACGACUGAAGAGUGAAAGGAUUCACGAUUUCACUCCAUCUCGCUGUUUAUCUUCUCUUCUCUACUGCAACUUCACAAGUAAGUUCGAAUUUUCCGGUUCGAUUUGCUUACACAAUCAUUCUGUAACAACAGAUUUAAACAUUAAAAUCGUUUCUUCACACAAUUAUGGUUCUUGCAACCAUACCUUCUUCAACGGUGCCCACAACCACCACGAACUAUAAUAAUUACAUCCAAGCAACCAACCAUCACCAUCGUCUCCUCCGCCUACUAAACCAGUGCACCUCCAUGUCUCAGCUCAAGCAAAUCCACGCCCAGACACUCAGAACCACCUCCACCACUAAUCCGCAUACGCUUUUCCUCCACAGUCGAAUCCUCCAUUUUUCAUCUCUCCACGACCUCCACUACGCGUCCUUGUUCUUCCAAACCCAUAUCCAAAACGCAAAUUCUUUCGCUUGGAACACCAUCAUUAGAGCUUGUUCUCGGAGCAACAAUCGUAAGCAAGAAGCCAUUUUACUCUACCUCAAAAUGCUAUCAGAAGGGAAUGUUACACCCGAUAAGCACACCUUCCCGUUUGUACUCAAAGCUUGCGCUUAUCUCUUUGCUAUUUCCGAGGGCAAACAGUUACACGCCCAUAUUUUCAAACUCGGACUCGCAUCAGAUGUAUAUAUCAACAACAGUCUAAUCCAUUUUUACGGAUCAUGUGGAAGCUUGGAGGACGCACGAGACGUGUUCGAUGAAAUGCCUGAAAGAACUGUGGUUUCUUGGAACGUCAUGAUUGACACCCUUGUACAAUUAAACCAGUUUGAUAAUGCAAUAACAUGUUUUCGUAACAUGCAACAAUGUUUCAAACCAGAUAGUUUCACAAUCCAGAGCAUCUUACGUGCUUGUGCUGGAUUGGGAGCUUUAUCACUCGGACUCUGGGCUCAUACAUAUAUCUUAAAAAGAUGCAACAUAGAAGUAGCUAACGAUGUUUUAGUCAAUAAUUGUCUUCUAGAUAUGUAUUUCAAAUGUGGGUCAUUAAAAGAUGCUAAAAUGGUGUUCAAAAAAAUGACAAAACAUGAUGUAACAUCAUGGAACACAAUGAUUCUUGGAUUCGCAAUGCAUGGAGAUGCGAAAUCAGCUUUACACUAUUUCAAACAAAUGGUUGAAGAAGAAAGAAUACUCCCUAAUUCCAUUACAUUUAAUGGGGUUUUAAGUGCUUGUAGACAUAGUGGAAUGGUCAACGAGGGUCAAACCUAUUUCACCAUUAUGACAACAAAGUAUGGGAUUGAGCCAGUUUUGGAGCAUUACGGGUGUUUGGUUGACCUUCUGGCUAGAUCCGGGCUCAUUGUUGAGGCACUAGAUGUGGUUUCCAAAAUGGUAAUUAAACCCGAUGUGGUGAUUUGGAGGAGUAUUCUUGAUGCUUGUUGGAAGAAAAAUGUGGGAAUUGAAGUUAGUGAAGAAAUGGGAAGAAAGAUUAUGGAGUGUGAAGAAGGGAGUAAGUUUAGUGGUGUUUAUGUGCUUUUAUCAAGAGUUUAUGCAGUGGCUUGUAAGUGGGAUGAGGUUGAUUAUGUGUGGAAGAUGAUGGCUGAUAAGGGUGUAAUCAAGGAGCCUGGUUGUAGUACUAUUGAGAUAGAUGGUGUUAGUCAUGAGUUUUUUUCAGGUUGCCACUCCACAUAACACACGUCACUUCUCACAUAUGACUUCAUUGUUGGAAUUGGUGCUCUCCAAAGUUGCAUGGAUGUAACGAAUAAAUGACAUUGGCUCAAGGGAUCAACAACCAGAAUUUAUGACCCAAAUUUGAUCACAAAGGUUUUCACUAAAGAAGACAUUGUGCCAUUGAUUUUGAUUAGGAAGUCUAUCGAUUCCGACAACAGAAGCAUCAAUUUCAAACUGAAAAAACGUUAGUAAAAUUCGGUAAAUGUAAUACAGGAGCUUGUAUUACAAUAGUAUUCAAAA